GCUCGAGUGGCGAACGGGUGAGUAACACGUGAGUAACCUGCCCUUGACUUUGGGAUAACUUCAGGAAACUGGGGCUAAUACCGGAUAGGAGCUCCUGCUGCAUGGUGGGGGUUGGAAAGUUUCGGCGGUUGGGGAUGGACUCGCGGCUUAUCAGCUUGUUGGUGGGGUAAUGGCUUACCAAGGCUUUGACGGGUAGCCGGCCUGAGAGGGUGACCGUCCACAUUGGGACUGAGAUACGGCCCAG
rnacentral:rRNA from 1 species